rnacentral:lncRNA from 1 species
UCACUUUCAAAAUAUUAUCUCUUAAUAUUAGGUUAUAUUAAGAACAACAAAAGCUUUUGAUCACUUUCAAGUGAUUAAUCCACUACAUGUUGCCUAUAUAAAAGAAAUAAAAAGCAACUCACUCAUUAAACUAGCUCAAAAUUUUCGAUAUUGAUUUGACAAUGCAAAUAAUUUUCGGUAUUCAUCUUUGAUAACAUGUAAUAAUAAUCGUCUUUGCACGUAUUAGAAAUUGGUCAAGGAUAACAAAAUUUUUCAAUUUGUCACAACUUCCCAAGUCAAUGUUUUUCCACCCAUGAUUGUAUCAAACAAACUUUUAAGUUUUGUUUCACAUCUACAUUCAACUUGGC